rnacentral:rRNA from 1 species
AGAGUUUGAUCCUGGCUCAGAUUGAACGCUGGCGGUAUGCUUAACACAUGCAAGUCGAACGGAAACGAUACUAGCUUGCUAGUAGGCGUCGAGUGGCGGACGGGUGAGUAACGCGUAGGAAUCUACCUAAUAGUGGGGGAUAGCCCGGAGAAAUCCGGAUUAAUACCGCAUAAUCUCUAUGGAGUAAAGGGGCCCUCUUCUUGAAAGGUUUCGCUAUCAGAUGAGCCUGCGUAAGAUUAGCUAGUUGGUGAGGUAAAAGCUCACCAAGGCGACGAUCUUUAGCUGGUCUGAGAGGAUGAUCAGCCACACUGGGACUGAGACACGGCCCAGACUCCUACGGGAGGCAGCAGUGGGGAAUAUUGGACAAUGGGGGCAACCCUGAUCCAGCAAUACCGCGUGUGUGAAGAAGGCCUGAGGGUUGUAAAGCACUUUCAAUUGUGAAGAAAAGUUAAUAGUUAAUAACUAUUAG